CUUACGGUAGAUAGGAGACGCAUGGGGUGCUCUGAAGGCAGCAAUUAGAGCCACUGAAUUGGAUCCAUCUGGGGCUGAGGUAUGUCUGGAAUUCUUAACGGACUCGGGUGCAAUUUCAUUAGUCAUUUUCACACAUGUUGCAGGUGUUGGCUUAUGUCUUAGCUUGUAGAUCUUGGUGAAAGUCUUCUAGUAUCUAUUAAUCUGUUCUGCCAAUUGCAUAACGUUA